rnacentral:rRNA from 1 species
UACGGGGGGAGCAAGCGUUGUUCGGAUUUACUGGGCGUAAAGGGCGCGUAGGCGGCGCAACAAGUCACUUGUGAAAUCUCCGGGCUUAACCCGGAGCGGCCAAGUGAUACUGUCGUGCUAGAGUGCGGAAGGGGCUACUGGAAUUCUCGGUGUAGCGGUGGAAUGCGUAGAGAUCGGGAAGAACAUCGGUGGCGAAGGCGGCCUGCUGGGCUGUAGCUGACGCUGAGGCGCGACAGCGUGGGGAGCAAACAGG